rnacentral:misc_RNA from 1 species
CUGCUUGCUCACGGUUUCGUUCGGGCAACCGAGCGAGGCCGCGCAUGCUACCCUUGCUUAUGUAUACCUAUUGUUAUUCCCUCGGCGGGGAGACUCGCCGCUGGGAUCACUUAAACUCUUUUGUAUAAAGCAUCAAAACUUCUGAAAACAAAAUAAUAAUUA